rnacentral:misc_RNA from 1 species
UCUCCGUUGGUGAACCAGCGGAGGGAUCAUUACAGAGUUGCAAAACUCCCAAACCAUUGUGAACGUUACCUAUCCCGUUGCUUCGGCGGGCGGCCCGGGCCCCGCGCCCGGCGCCCCCCGGCCCCCCGUGGGCGCCCGCCGGAGGUAAACCGAACCCUUGGAUUGCAUGGCCUCUCUGAGUCUUCUGUACUGAAUAAGUCAAAACUUUCAACAACGGAUCUCUUGGUUCUG